rnacentral:lncRNA from 1 species
GAUUACAUUAUAGACGGCAAAGAAACGCAACCUUUGCUGUCAGCUUACUAAUUUACAGAUGACAAUGUUUUUUUAAUUAAAAAAUCACAGGACACCUGAAGAACAAAACAUUUUCCAUAACAACUUAUAUAGAUCGAUUUAUGCAAAAUUUGGUACAAUCGAUUUGUAGGACACUUGACCAUCAAAUAUUUGCUGCUACAACUUUCUUUGUAAAUCAAUUUACAAAACAGAUCUGAACAUCAACAUUUUUCAGAAUCGUUUACAAAUUUCAGGUACACAGAAAGAGGCAGUCAGGGGCAUUGAAUCAUUUGCGUUGGGCUCAGGGGCUGCUCCCUGCGACGGUCGGUGGUGAGAGAUGCGAUGUCGGACAGUGGUGCGGGUAGAGCCGGGCUCUGACAGGUGGACAUGGGCACAGACGGCUGGCGGGCCACGGACGGCCGCGUGAGGGUUGCUCCAGCUGAUGGGGGGUCGGGGCCUCCGGCCGCACGACCGGCUGCUCGGGGCGACGGUUGAGGGCCGAGGCCGGCAGCGCCAUGGCCGGCCACGUGAGGGUGCUCGGGGCGACGGGGGAGGGCCAGGGCCGGCGGUGCCAUGGCUUGCCGUGUGUCGCUACUUGGGGCAACGGGGAAGGGCCGGGCCGGCGGCGCCAUGGCCGGCCGCGCAAGGUGCUCGGGGAUACGGGGAUGGCCAGUGGCAUAGCGGUGGUCGGGGCGGCGAGUGGAGGAGCGAGAGCGGCAGCUGGUGGGGCGAACGACGGCGACAGACAGUGGCGGCGGGAGACAGUCGGUCGUGCAGCUACACGAGAAAGAGAGAAAGGUAGGCACGAGAGAGAGAGAGAGAGNGAGAGAGAGAGAGAGAUAGAGAGAGAGAGAGAGAU